GGACUACUGGGGUAUCUAAUCCCGUUUGCUCCCCUGGCUUUCGCGCCUCAGCGUCAGUUGAGGUCCAGCACGCCGCCUUCGCCACCGGUGUUCCUUCCGAUAUCUACGCAUUUCACCGCUCCACCGGAAGUUCCGCAUGCCCCUACCUCACUCCAGACAUCCAGUAUCAAAGGCCGUUUUCCGGUUAAGCCGAAAGAUUUCACCCCUGACUUGGAUACCCGCCUACGCGCCCUUUAAGCCCAGUGAUUCCGAACAACGUUCGCACGGUUCGUCUUACCGCGGCUGCUGGCAC
rnacentral:rRNA from 1 species